rnacentral:misc_RNA from 1 species
AACGCACAUUGCGCCCUCUGGUAUUCCGGGGGGCAUGCCUGUUCGAGCGUCAUUACAACCCUCAAGCUCAGCUUGGUAUUAGGCUUCACCUGCUAUAGGCGGGCCUUAAAAUCAGUGGCGGUGCCAUUUGGCUUCAAGCGUAGUAACUUUUCUCGCUCAGGAGUACCAAUUGUGUGCCUGCUAAAAAUCCAAAUUUUAUCAAAGGUUGACCUCGGAUCAGGUAGGGAUACCCGCUGAACUUAA